rnacentral:rRNA from 1 species
ACUCCUACGGGAGGCAGCAGUGGGGAAUCUUCCGCAAUGGACGAAAGUCUGACGGAGCAACGCCGCGUGAGUGAUGAAGGUUUUCGGAUCGUAAAACUCUGUUGUUAGGGAAGAACAAGUACCGGAGUAACUGCCGGUGCCUUGACGGUACCUAACCAGAAAGCCACGGCUAACUACGUGCCAGCAGCCGCGGUAAUACGUAGGUGGCAAGCGUUGUCCGGAAUUAUUGGGGCGUAAAGCGCGCGCAGGUGGUCUCUUAAGUCUGAUGUGAAAGCCCCCGGCUCAACCGGGGAGGGUCAUUGGAAACUGGGAGGCUUGAGUGCAGGAGAGAAGAGUGGAAUUCCACGUGUAGCGGUGAAAUGCGUAGAGAUGUGGAGGAACACCAGUGGCGAAGGCGACUCUUUGGCCUGUAACUGACACUCAGAUGCGAAAGCGUGGGGAGCAAACAGGAUUAGAUACCCUGGUAGCGACUGA